GAUUGCUGGAGUUGAUGAACAAGCCUACAUAACAGUGCAUCCUAACACUUCACAAGCAAGAGACAACAGCCUUCCAUCAGAAGAGGAAGGAUGAACACUGUGCCUCACUGCUGAUCAUCCAGAGCCAUUGCCUUUCCUCUGCUACUCAGGAACAGCAGCCUUUCAGAGAGCCACUUGUACACAUAUUUCUGCUAAAAUAACCCAGACUGCAUCUGUGAACACAGCCAGAACCCCACGUGAACCCAUUACUAAUGGAUCCAGCCUCAGUGAUGCCGAAGACAUCCUGUUGUUGUGAAGGUGUGACUCACAAAUGAGGGAGAGCAGUCAAACAAGAAGGAAGAUUUUAUGCAUCCAGAAGGUUCUCGCAGGAGAUGUACUGACCACUGCGCAAAUCAUCUCUCUUUGUGACCAAGCAGCUCUACAGCAGGAAGUGAGAGUUCAUUUACAGGCAUCCAAGUCUAAGACACAAGUUCAAAUAUGUGUACCUGGCAAAACACCCUUCAGCGUUUGUCUGAAGUUUAACCCCUUGGCUGCUCGUUAUACCAGCAAACAGCUGCAGUUGCUGUGCAUUUAGAAUGCUCUGAAAUGCCUUUUUGGAAGUUUCACCUCAGCAGUCACCUUGUGAACUGCAACAUAAUAAGCAUCAUGCAUUAUCCAUGCUACUACCAAAGAAUUUAAAGCGACAUAACUCAGAAGUUAUUCUACAGAGAUAACAGGAUGGAAAAUGUGAGGUGUGAUGGACACUAGAGAGAGAGUGUCCUCUGAUGGUAAAUAUCACAGCAGCUUUGUUUACAGAAGCAUUCACAGCAUCCUGAAGUACCAGGAAACUCAGCACAGUGCACUCCAAUUAAGGUGCAUUCCACAGAAGCCUGCCAAUGGCAGCUCUGCUAAACGUCAACAGGAUACCAGGGGAGCAGGUUGAAACAGCAGCUUUCAUGCUGGAUCAAAACAAAUUUCUGCAGCACUUUUUUUCCCUCCCCACCCUCAUCUCCCCCUUCCAGUGCUAUUUCAAGCACACUGUGGAAUACCUACUACAAAUUCCUAGUGCAGGCCACCACCUCUCCACUUUCCAGAAGGAAGCUGAAGGCUACCUGUCUGUGCCACCUGGUAUUGGGAAAGACUGCAAACAGGAGCAGUGAGCAGGUUGUUUGACCAGGAAGGUUAACUGCACUCCUUUAUCUUUUUACAGCAAUGCCUGUAACUGUAUUUAAACAGGGAGUAGAAGAUGCUAUCAUGUAUCUAAAAGUCUGAUUGAUUGCAUUUUCCUGCCUAAUUUCAACAGAACUCCUCAGUGGUGGUAAGAAUUUUUCCAGUAGUUUAUCAGCUCACCUUAGUAAAAGACAUGGCAGUUGUGUGCCAGGAAUUGGUAACCAUAUAUGCUCUUAAAUCUUCCUGUCUGUCAUGAUUUCAUACAUAUUCAUGCAGGAAAACACCGCUCUGGAGACCACUACAUGAUUAUGGUUUUCAUUAGUGACCUAAAAAGUAGUCCAGGUGUCAAGACAUAAAAUUUUCCUGCUGAGAUCUUCCUUCCAUGAAGAAAGGUAACUACUGUAGCUAUUAGAAGCUGCACACAGAGCACCUUUGAAUGGCAAAACAGAACCAUUUGUCUGAUAACAGAAGCACAGAGAUAACCUCCCCUGAAGAACUACAAGUAUAAUAAACCUUUGGUUGACCUCC